UACGUAGGGGGCGAGCGUUGUCCGGAGUUACUGGGCGUAAAGGGCGUGCAGGCGGUGCGGUAAGUUUAGCGUGACAGUCUCCGGCUUAACUGGAGAAGGCCGCUGAAAACUGCUGGACUUGAGGGCCAGAGAGGGACAUAGAAUUCCGGGUGGAGUGGUGAAAUGCGUAGAUAAUCCGGAGGAAUACCAAAGGCGAAGGCAGUGUCCUGGCUGGCAACUGACGCUGAGGCGCGAAAGCUAGGGGAGCGAACAGG
rnacentral:rRNA from 1 species